rnacentral:ncRNA from 1 species
AAAGUGGUUUAAUUUUAGCCAUAUAAAUACUUUAAAGAAUCCACAUAUUUUUAUUAAAUCAUAUAAAACAGCAUAAUAGUAGUUGUUAAUUUAGUGGAUAGAUUUUAUGUUUCUAACUAUUAGAGCUAAGUUCUUUAUAAUUAUCUAGGAAAAGUCACAGUGCCAGCAUCCGCGGUUAUUCUGUUUAGUAUUAUUUAAAAAUAUAUAAAUAAGGUUAAUUCUUAUAUUAUAUUAGUAGAAUAUCAAUAAUAUAACAAUUUAUUAGCCUGAUAUUAUAAUAAAUAAGUUUUUAAGAAUGAGAUUAGAUACCUCAGUAUUACUUAUAUAAUAACUUUUAGUUAAACUAAAGAAAUUUGGCAGUCUUUUAUUCUCUACUGGGGGUUGUGUGUGUUAAAGGAUGAUCCACCAAUUAACUUACCUUUGUUUUAUGUAGGUGUACGUCUGACUUAAUACUAAUAUAAAGAUAUAUUAGUGAAUAUAAAUCAUUAAUUUAAGUCAAGUCUAUGUGCCACUAUAUAUAGGUUCACAUGCUACACAUUUAUAAUUUAAUUGUUGUAAUUACUAUUAUAAUUUAGGACUAGUAAGUAUAUAUAUUUAAAUAGGUAUAUAUAAUAGAGUUUAAUAGAGGUACAUACCGCCCGUCAAUCUCGGUUCUCACUGAGAUAAGUCGUAACAUGGCAGCCUAUGGGGAACCAGAGGCUUGUAAA